GUGUGUGUGCUUGCGUGCGUGCGUGUGUGCAUGCGUGUGUGUGUGCGUGCGUGCGUGUGUGUGUGUGUGUGUGUGUGUGUGUGUGUGUGUGUGUGUGUGUGUGUAUGUGUGUACAGGUACAUUUCUGCAGAAGCCAGAGUUCUUGGAUGUCUCAGUGCUGGAUUUACACCUAGUGAGAGCCUUCCCGCAUGGGUGUUGGGAACCAAAUUUGGUUCUUCUCCAAAAGUACCCCAUGUUCUUCACUGGUAAGCCUUCUCUCCAGCCCCUUAAUGGAUAAUUUCGACCUGAAAACAAUGUACUUGAUACCCUUGAGUGCUUUAGCAAUAUAUGACUUAAAUUUAAAUUAUUUGAUCUCUCUCAUUUUUCUAACCUGUAAGAUAAGGAUAUUUGUUCUAGGAGUGUACCCCGUGGAGUGUCCUAUCAAGCUGCCUCGUGCCUGCAGCUGAUCUCACCUACACCGAAUUGCCACUCGCUCUCUGGUGACUUAUCUCCAGAUAAGUCAUCAUAACUACAAAAAGCUAAAUGACUUUACUUAAGGAAAAGAAGUAGAUGCUUCCGGAGAGACAGCAUAUUUUUCGUAUCUUAAAAUGGAUUCAUCUUCCAGCCAGACUUCAAACGGGAAUUUUUAUGGAAUCAAAUAAUAAUGAGAAGUCUUGUAAUUUCUAUCAUCAUCAACUGUCAUCAUCAUAGUCAACCACCAUCAUUGUCGUCAUCCUCAUUGUCGUCGUUGUCGUCGUCGUCGUCGUCGUCGUCAUCAUCAUCAUCAUCAUCAUCAUCAUUGUGUUUAUGUAUACAUGAAUGUUUAUGCCAGAGUUGGCCAGAGCAGUGACUUGGAUGCCUUGGAGUAAAGUUACAGGAGGUUGUGAGCAUCCAAUUUGGAUUCUGGGAAUGAAACCCCAGUUUAUUGAAAGAGGAGCAAAUCUUAAUCCUGUAAAUAUUAAUUUUAAUUACUUUAAUUACACACACACACACACACACACACACACACACACACACACACACAUAUAUUGAAAGUGCAGAUUCUAAGUGAAAAUCAAACACUUUAAGUUUGACUGGUAUCUGGGUAGGGUGACUCACACUGAUUCUAAACUUUCUUAAAAUAACUCAAUGAAACUUGGAGAAUUCAAUCCAAUUCAUGCUUAUUUCAAUUUAUGCAUGGACUAGAUUAAGGAUUCAAAUCAAUUAAUAAUUAACUCUAUAUUGUGUUGCUAAAAUGUGUGGAGAUAUAAGCUUCAUAGACAUUUUCAAAUACAUAGAAAAAGAAAUGUAAAGAGAGAAAGAGGGAGAAACGUAUUUUAUCUCAAAUGUACAUUUAACUGAAUAAGGCUUAAUGAAUUCUUAGCACCUAAGUAUUAAGUACUUAAGUCUAAUUAAAUUUAAAAUACUGAAAACUUUUAUGCAAAUUUUAAAAGAGUUUUCAUUUGAAUGUUUUUGUUCUUUGUACUCAUUUAAGUGAAAUUCACAGAAACUUAUUUCUCAUUAAAUAUUAUUUUAACUAAGUAUACCAAACAGUCUAUAAAAUGUUUUGAGCCGCUACUCAAUGUUCUAAAAUAAUUUUUGUGAAAUAUUUUAAUACUUUCAAUGGAAACCAACAGUCAUGAGAAGAGUGCAUAGGGAUCUGUAAGCGGACAGUCUUUCAUUAUUUGAAUUGAUGUAAGUUACAGAUUACAUGAAAUUAAAGUGAUGAAAAUUA